rnacentral:rRNA from 1 species
AGAGUUUGAUCCUGGCUCAGGACGAACGCUGGCGGCGUGCCUAAUACAUGCAAGUCGAGCGGAUUGAUGGGAGCUUGCUCCCUGAUAUCAGCGGCGGACGGGUGAGUAACACGUGGGUAACCUGCCUGUAAGACUGGGAUAACUCCGGGAAACCGGGGCUAAUACCGGAUAACUCAUUUCCUCGCAUGAGGAAAUGUUGAAAGGUGGCUUUUAGCUACCACUUACAGAUGGACCCGCGGCGCAUUAGCUAGUUGGUGAGGUAACGGCUCACCAAAGCGACGAUGCGUAGCCGACCUGAGAGGGUGAUCGGCCACACUGGGACUGAGACACGGCCCAGACUCCUACGGGAGGCAGCAGUAGGGAAUCUUCCGCAAUGGACGAAAGUCUGACGGAGCAACGCCGCGUGAGUGAUGAAGGUUUUCGGAUCGUAAAGCUCUGUUGUUAGGGAAGAACAAGUGCCGUUCGAAUAGGGCGGCACCUUGACGGUACCUAACCAGAAAGCCACGGCUAACUACGUGCCAGCAGCCGCGGUAAUACGUAGGUGGCAAGCGUUGUCCGGAAUUAUUGGGCGUAAAGCGCGCGCAGGUGGUUUCUUAAGUCUGAUGUGAAAGCCCACGGCU